CCGGCCUUAGCUCAGUUGGUAGUAGCGGCAGACUGUAGAGUUGGACAAACAACACCGACAUCUGUAGGUCCCUGGUUCGACUCCGGGAGGCCGGA